AUGACGCUUUUCAAAGAGGAGUCUGUAUCACUGUGGUACACUUUCGGUGGCGGCACGAAACUGUCAGUUGGACGUGACACAGUUCCCACCCUCACAGUCCUGCCCCCCUCCAGUGUGGAGGUGAAGCAGGGGAAGGCCACACUGGUGUGUCUGGCCAACAAGGGCUUCCCGUCAGACUGGACUCUGCGCUGGAAAGUGGACGGUACCAGUAGGAGCUCGGGCGUGGCCGGGAGCGCCGGGGUCCUGGGGAAGGACGGCCUGUACAGCUGGAGCAGCUCCCUGACUCUCAGUGCGGACGACUGGAUGAAGGCGGGGUCACUGACCUGUGAGGCCACAAAGGGCUCCCAGGCUGCCCCCCCUCAGACACUGAGGAGAGCUGACUGUGCUGAGUAGGGCAGGUGCAGGCCCAGCUCACACACUCUGAUCACACUGUGUUUACCCUGCUCUGCUCUCAGCCUCUCUGCCCCUUACUGCUGCACACUGAGC